rnacentral:lncRNA from 1 species
AAUUAGUGCUCUACCAGGGCUGUCUGUGAUUGCAGUUCAGAUGUGGUUAUCCUGUCAAGGUUAACUCCUUUUCAAUUGAAUGCACAGCUUCAGAAAGAUGAUGAGUGGUGAUGAGAAAGAUGAUAGCACCUCAUCAGCCAGAUGGGCAGUAUCAAUUCUGGUGAUCAAUGGAAUGACAGAUGCUGUUGCCAAAUCACACUCCUUCUCUAACCUGAAGGCUGAUGUCAGCUUAAUUAACUGGGUCACCAUGUGUUUUUCAGGUCAGCAGUGAAAAUCAAGACAAAGGACCUUAGGAAGAGAGGAACAGAAUAUCUCGGUCAUCUAAAAGUGCAAUCCUGCCCCAGUGGCUACUGAGAAGGCACUGACUGGCUACCUAUUGACAGGCCCCCAGACAGAAAGUCAGGGACCCUGGUGAGAGUCAUGUACGUUGUACCAGCCCUUUUGAACUCCUGGCCUCAAGCAAUCCUCCUGCCUCAGCCUCCCAAGUAGUUGGGAUUACAGAAGUCUACCCUCUACAGAAUGAAUCAACUGGGCUCCAUCUUCCUCUGCCUUUCAUUGGUAAGGUAGGGAGUUCCCCCGCUCUUUCUUGCCUAAGCCUCAGACUAGUGGUGGCUUUGUUUCUUUCCCAAAGGCCACAGCUCCUAUUGGGCAGGGUUCUGGCAAUAUCUGCACCCGUACCUCACCUUUUCCAGUCUGGGCUCAAUGGUGACAUGCAAUCACUGAGGUUGAUAUAUUGGAAUGUCCUCGGAAUACUGUGUAGGUAGCAGACCAAAGGCUUAGGAAGAGAGAAAUGCUGAGAUAGACUGCGUGCAAGCUGCUAAGCCACCAGCUACCAGUACAUCAGGGAGGUCUGCAGGUCUUUUUUCCUAAGACAUUAGGAAAUACAUUAGUGAAAGGAAAGGAGCACCAGCAUCCUUGAAAAGUUCUGUGACUGUUUUCUCUGGGCUGGAAUGAGGGUAGGAGACUCUGCAGUGGAGUUAGUUUCCUGUUUGAUUUCAACGGCAAUAACAGAAUCCUGGAGUGGUGGAGGCCAGGCGGCAGCAAGACAAGGAGAGUGCAUUUCUCUAACAAGCCACAAGGACUCCUGAGUAGAAAUAAGAGGUUUUGACCUGCAGGGAUCUGUGAAGGUGGCUUAUUGAUCAUGGCGUCCUUAGGAAUAAGAAAUAGGCAGAUUUCUAAGGUACUACUUGAUCUGAUAAGGAGGAAAAAUGCUAGGAAAGGUGGGCAAAAGUCUGGCCUGGUCUCGUGCAUUUCCCAGAUCUAAGACAGUACAUCGGCUUGGGAGCCCCUUGAUUGAGGAGGAGGAAGGGCCUAUUGAGGAAGGACUCUGCAAUGGGACCACAAACCUUCCUUAGAGGAACUUAAAAUCCUUUACCAGGGUGACUAUACAAUGGAAAAAGUUUAUACCCAAACUCUCCCGGAAUUACUAGAUAUUGGCUCUAAAGUUAUGUUAGCUGUGUGCAGUACCUCAUGCAUGUAAUCCCAGCACUUUGGUAGGCCAAGGCUAGAGGACUGCCUGAGCACAGGAGUUUGAGGUUACAGUGAGCUAUGCUCAUGCCACUGCACUCAAGCUGGGACAACAGAGUGAAAUCCUCUCACAAAAAAAUAAAAAUUAAAAAAAUAAAUAAAAAACAUGAUAUUAAGGUCUGGAGACCCAAAUACUGCUAUGGUCCACCUGUCAAGAAAGGAUGUAUGGAAGUUGGGUGAUAGAUGAAGUCUUGUUUUAAGUUCAUCAUAGAGUGGGUCUAGUAAGAUCCCUGUGCUAAUUCCUCUUGUCUCAGAUUGUGGAGUGGUAACAGGUGUACUCAGUAAAUCAAUUAACCCCUGUAACGGCUCCCUGACCCGUGGAUGGAUGCUAUUAUGCAGGAUGGGUUAAAUAGAAGCUCCUGGAACUGCCCCCAUCCUGACCUCCAAGCCAAGAUAGGAAACCAAAAUCAAUACCAUAUUCCUGGGGGAAUUACAGAGAUUAAUGACUCAAUCAAAGACCAAAAAAAACACAUAAUGGGUGAUUUCUAUCAUAUUUUCCUUUAACUCAUCUGUUUGGUUAGCGCAACAGCCACAAGACUUGGAGAAUGACUGUGGAUUAUUUCAAAUCUAUUCAGGAGGUAAUGCUAUCUCAGCGGACAGUAGGUAGCAUUGCCUCUCCUCACCCAUGGCCAGUAUUCUACUAUUUAUUUACCAUAUACUUUUGUUUAUUGCUAUCAGCAAAGAGAAUCUGAAGUAGUUUGCCUUCAUGGAGCAGGAAGGGUAGUAAAUUUACUCUUUUAUCUCAGGGCUCUGUCAGCUCUAUUUCUGUCACAACAUAGUCCAGAGGAAACUUUAUCAUCUUGAUAUCUCACAGAGCAUCCUGUUGGUCUGCUGUAUCAAUAAGGUUAUAUUAACUGGACCUGGUGAGUGAGAAGUAGCUAAUUACUCUAGAUGCCACAAUAAAAUAUAUGCAUGCUGGAGCAUGGAAAAUACACCCGCCGAGGGGCUUGCCACAGUAGGGAUGUUUCUCUGGACAUCCACAAACGGGGGCACGUUCACAUGGCUCCCCUAAAAUGAGAAGUAAGUUGCUUCACUUUCUACUUUGCACUGUGAAGAAAGGGGUACGAUGCUCUUUUGAUUUUAGAGGCAACAUAUACCACGUUUGGGUGUGCUGCUCUGACCCACGUACUGGGUCCGUUCUGAGUGGGGUUCAAUGAGAAGACUCUCCAGCAAGUUAAGGCUGUGGUUCAAAAAUGCCCAGCCUGGCCACUCCUGUGGUUCCAGCACUUUGGGAUACCAAGGUGGGCACAUAUGCUUGAGUUCAGGAGUUUGAGACCAGCCUGGGUGACACAGCAAAACCACAUCUCUACCAAAAAAUAUAAAAAACUAGCCGGGUGUGGUGGCACGCACCUGUAGUUCCAGCUACGUAGCGGGCUGAGAUGGGAGGAUCUCUUGAGCCUGGGAGGUGGAGAUUGCAGUGAGCUGAGAUUGCAACCACUGCACUCCAGCCUGGGUGACAGAGAGACACUCUGUCUCAAAAAUAAAAUAAAAUGAAAAUUAAAUUAAAUUAAAGUUUAAAAAUCCCAAAAUGUCCUGCCAGUUGGGCCUUAUGACUUAGCAGAUCUGGUGUCUGUGGCACACAGAGAUGCUGCAGGAAGCCUCUGAUAAGACCCAAUAGAACAAUCAUAGCCCAGACCCUCACAGUUUCAGGGUAAGGACAUGCUCUCUUCUCCUGACAUCUCUGCUCUCUUUGAAAAACAGCUCCUUGCUUACUUCUGGGUCCUGGUAAAGAUUGAAUGAAUGUCUUAUUAUGGGAUACUAAUUAGCCCCGUGUCCCAAAUUACCCAUCAUGAAUUAGAUGUUAUUUGACAUACAGAAUCAUACAAUCGGACAUGUGCAGCAGCAUUGAAAUAUUAAGUGGAAGUGAGACACUCAAGACCAGGCCAAGGAGCUCUGGAAGGCACAAAUAAUUGCAUGAUAACUCAGACUCCCAUUGUACCUGAGCUAAUGUGUUGCUACCUCUCAUUCAACUUACACUAAAGGCCACUUGGGUAUUCUUUCUGUUUUUUCUUUUUAAGGUAAAAUGGUUGUUUUAUUCAUUGAACUUAAACCAGCAAAGCUAGUAAAGUGUCUGCAUGAUGUAGCAAAUACAAGAUCUCUUUCUACAAAUAUUAGCAUAAUCAGUAAAUUAGGGGCUAGAGUAAAACAGAGCCAAAAGGGGCUGAGGAAAUCAAUAAAGUAUGUUACAGCUUAACCCUUCACCUCAAUCAUUGAGUUUUUAAAAAAAAUAAGUAAAGCUUCCCUAUCCCAGAAAAUGGGAAUAUACCUUCAUUACACCAAUUUGUACUUUUAUUUCCUAUUCUUGAGGUUAGAGUCUAAAUCCUAAAGAUAUCCAAACCAGUAUUAGAUCUACUUCGCUAUAGUCAGAGAUAGCUUCUAUCCUGUUGCCCUUAGCAGUCAAGGUCAUUAAAAUGUCUUUUCUCCAGAAACAUCCAAUAGGAAAAAAGAAAGAAACCUCUCUGAUUAGGCUCCAACCAUACCCUACCCUCGACCAAAUCGACUGGAUAGGCAUAAUGGAAACCAGAGCACAUGGUUUCCAAACCAGAAAAAUCCUAUGGGCAAGGGGAGGAGAGGAGAGGAAGGAUUCAGCCUGAAUGAAAUUGAGUAAUAUCAAUUUCACUCGUCUUCACCCAUCUUCAGGCUGCAUGUUUGCGGAGUAGUUUAGGAAUAAAUCCAUGGUUUGUGGAGCACUAGAAAACCUA